AGCUUUAUGAAAUAUAUAUAAAGUUUAACCUGCCCAAUGAAAAUUUUUAAUGGCCGCAGUACAUUGACUGUGCUAAGGUAGCAUAAUAAAUUGACUUUUAAUUGAAGCCUUGAAUGAAAGGAACCAUGGAUAAUCUCUGUCUUAUAUAUAAUUAAUUACAAAUUACUUAAAAGGUGAAAAUUCCUUUAUAUAUUAUAAUAGACGAGAAGACCCUAGGAGUUUGAAAUUUUGUUGGGGCGACAUUAUAGCAUAAAACCUAUAAACAAAUAAAUUUAUAAAACGAAUUUUAGUAAUAAAAAAUAAACUACCCUAGGGAUAACAGCAUAAUUCUAUUUUGAGUUUGUGACCUCGAUGUUGGACUAGGAACUAUUUUAAGCUAACAGCGUUAAAUGAAUGUUCUGUUCGAACUUUGUUUCCU
rnacentral:rRNA from 1 species